rnacentral:rRNA from 1 species
UGCCGGCGUGAGUGAUGACGGCCUUAGGGUUGUAAACGCUCUUUCGCGUCGGGACGAUAAUGACGGUACCGAGAUAAGAAGCCCCGGCUAACUUCGUGC